rnacentral:tRNA from 1 species
UGGUCUAGCAGUUAGAACGCUGGCCUUGUAAUCCUGGGGUCCCGGGUUCGAUUCCCGG